CCUACGGGAGGCAGCAGUAGGGAAUAUUGCUCAAUGGGGGAAACCCUGAAGCAGCAACGCCGCGUGGAGGAUGAAGGUUUUCGGAUUGUAAACUCCUUUUGUUAGAGAAGAUAAUGACGGUAUCUAACGAAUAAGCACUGGCUAACUCCGUGCCAGCAGCCGCGGUAAUACGGAGGGUGCAAGCGUUAGUCGGAAUCACUGGGCGUAAAGAGCGCGUAGGCGGGAUAGCAAGUCAGAUGUGAAAUCCUAUGGCUUAACCAGAGAACUGCAUUUGAAACUGUUAUUCUAGAGUGUGUGAGAGGAAAGUGGAAUUCUAGGUGUAGGAGUAAAAUCCGUAGAGAUCAAGAGGAAUACUCGUGGCGAAGGCGACCUGCUAGAACAUAACUGACGCUGAUGCGCGAAAGCGUGGGGAGCAAACAGGAUUAGAUACCCUUGUAGUC
rnacentral:rRNA from 1 species